UACGGAGGAUGCGGGCGUUAUCCGGAUUUAUUGGGUUUAAAGGGUGCGUAGGCGGACGCUUAAGUCAGCGGUAAAAUUGCGGGGCUCAACCUCGUCGAGCCGUUGAAACUGGGUGCCUUGAGUGGGCGAGAAGUACGCGGAAUGCGUGGUGUAGCGGUGAAAUGCAUAGAUAUCACGCAGAACUCCGAUUGCGAAGGCAGCGUACCGGCGCCCAACUGACGCUGAAGCACGAAGGCGUGGGUAUCGAACAGG
rnacentral:rRNA from 1 species